AGAGUUUGAUCCUGGCUCAGGAUGAACGCUGGCGGCGUGCCUAAUACAUGCAAGUCGAACGAGUUCUCGUUGAUGAUCGGUGCUUGCACCGAGAUUCAACAUGGAACGAGUGGCGGACGGGUGAGUAACACGUGGGUAACCUGCCCUUAAGUGGGGGAUAACAUUUGGAAACAGAUGCUAAUACCGCAUAGAUCCAAGAACCGCAUGGUUCUUGGCUGAAAGAUGGCGUAAGCUAUCGCUUUUGGAUGGACCCGCGGCGUAUUAGCUAGUUGGUGAGGUAAUGGCUCACCAAG
rnacentral:rRNA from 1 species